rnacentral:lncRNA from 1 species
UUUUUGUUUGAUUGAACUUGUUUGUUGUUGAUAUUAUACUACACGUUCAUAGUUCAUGCUUUAUAAAAUACCAAAAACUGAAAUUUGUUGUUUUUAUACUUUUCAAGUCUCAUUGAGUUGUAAAAAAGAUCACAAUUAAUUACUUGGUAUGAUCACCAUCAUUUGCCAAUGGCCCCUAUCAUGAAUCCCAAAUAGUAAGUCGAUUAAUUAGAUCUUCAUAAAAUGUACAAUGAGUAACACA